UCUUCCUCUUCCUCUUCCUCUUCCUCUCUCCCUUUUUAGUGUUUCAUUACUAAAAUCCAUCGCUUCGACGAACCUGUGGAUUUGACUCCAGACCUUACUUCUAUGAGACCCAAGAUUGUUCCACAAUUUUUUGGGGUGCAACUCUUUGGGGAUUCUGGAGCUGUAUUGCGAUUAUGGGUAUUCUGUGUUGAAACUUUUCAAGGUGUCAAUCUCGUUGAACCGGAUGAAUAAAAGCCCGAGAAAUGCCUGAUGGAAAUUUUGAGUGACAAUAGAUGGAUUCUAAGUCUAGGAAUCCUUUAAAUUUAGCCAAAUUUAUUGUUGUGAUAGUUGAACAUGGUUGUUAUAGGAGAUACAUAUGACAUGUACUCUGGUAAACCAAUAGUUGUUCCAUGGCUGAUCUUUGUGGGCAACAAUCUUGUAUAUAAUUGGUGCAACAAUCAUUCCUACGGUUAUGAUA